rnacentral:lncRNA from 1 species
GCUGGAGCUUGAUAACGAGCCACUGCACGGCUUUGCUCAUCUGUGGUGGUGGAGGUCGAGGUGGGAAGAGGAAAAGAAGGAGGAAUUAGCGAUGGUGGAGAGUUUGAUGAGCUUGGCGGAGAUAGAACGGACGAAGUCGAAGGGGUCAUCGGAGGCCUAAGAGGCGGCGGCAGUGAAUUGGGAGGAGAAGGCAAGCCCGAUACACGACAACACUGCCGCCUCCAUCGAUCGAUAGAUCGAGCGAGGAUUUUGACAACCGGAG